rnacentral:pre_miRNA from 1 species
AAGAUUGAGACUUGUAUGGCUUCGUUGAAGGAUGCCCGGAGAGUAAUUCAGGAAGGCAAAACCGAAGGCUGGGGUCAGCUAGUGGAGUUGCCAGAAAACAAGCGUAAGGAGGGAAUUGGUUUCCUUGACAGUAAGCCUGGGAUGUUCGACCCUACCAGAGGUUCUUUCCACAGUGCUGGUUUCAUUCAUGAUUCACCAGAGACCAAUGCAAUUUUAGAUGAUGCACCUGGAGGAGUGACACCGGUCUUUGUGACGCCUGGAGGAGCUUGCUGCAACUGGAUUGCUGUUGACAUUCCUUCUGUGACACCCUGCUCUAAGUAAUGUGUUUGUCUUGUUUUUUGUUGUUUUUUGUUUUUAAGAAAACUCCUUUAGUUCUGCCCAAGGCGAAAGUGAAAUCAUGUAGGGCUUUGUU